rnacentral:tRNA from 1 species
AAAAAUUUAGUUAAAAAAUAACAUUAGCAUGUCAAGCUAAAAUUACUAUAAAAGUAAUUUUUU